rnacentral:siRNA from 1 species
CAGUUUAUAUUAUGAUGGUAGU